rnacentral:rRNA from 1 species
GACGAACGCUGGCGGCGUGCUUAACACAUGCAAGUCGAACGGUAAGGCCCUUCGGGGUACACGAGUGGCGAACGGGUGAGUAACACGUGGGUGAUCUGCCCUGCACUUCGGGAUAAGCCUGGGAAACUGGUCUAAUACCGGAUAGGACCACUGCCUGCAUGGGUGGUGGUGGAAAGCUUUUGCGGUGUGGGAUGGGCCCGCGGCCUAUCAGCUUGUUGGUGGGGUGAUGGCCUACCAAGGCGACGACGGGUAGCCGGCCUGAGAGGGUGACCGGCCACACUGGGGCUGAGAUACGGCCCAGACUCCUACGGGAGGCAGCAGUGGGGAAUAUUGCACAAUGGGGGCAACCCUGAUCCAGCCAUGCCGCGUGAGUGAUGAAGGCCCUCGGGUUGUAAAGCUCUUUUGGCGGGGACGAUGAUGACGGUACCCGCAGAAUAAGCCCCGGCUAACUUCGUGCCAGCAGCCGCCGUAACAC